AAAUCCCCCGGAAGCUGCGAGGACCCCCCCAAAAAAAAAAAUUUUUGGGGUUCGGGGGGGAUCCCCAAAAUCGGAGCCGGGACGGAGAAAUUUGGGCUGGGGACCCCAAAAUCGGCACCGGACCCCCCCGAAAUCGAGGCCGGGAAGGCGAAAAUCGGAGGCGGGAGCCCCAAAAUUUUGGGGUGAGAACCCCGAGAAUUCGGGCCCGGAGGAGCUGAUUGGCCGAGAGCGAAGAGCCCCCCCCAGCACCUGCGACCCCCCC